rnacentral:rRNA from 1 species
GGGUGAGUAACACGUGGGCAAUCUGCCCUGCACUCUGGGACAAGCCCUGGAAACGGGGUCUAAUACCGGAUACUGACCCUCGCAGGCAUCUGCGAGGUUCGAAAGCUCCGGCGGUGCAGGAUGAGCCCGCGGCCUAUCAGCUAGUUGGUGAGGUAAUGGCUCACCAAGGCGACGACGGGUAGCCGGCCUGAGAGGGCGACCGGCCACACUGGGACUGAGACACGGCCCAGACUCCUACGGGAGGCAGCAGUGGGGAAUAUUGCACAAUGGGCGAAAGCCUGAUGCAGCGACGCCGCGUGAGGGAUGACGGCCUUCGGGUUGUAAACCUCUUUCAGCAGGGAAGAAGCGAAAGUGACGGUACCUGCAGAAGAAGCGCCGGCUAACUACGUGCCAGCAGCCGCGGUAAUACGUAGGGCGCAAGCGUUGUCCGGAAUUAUUGGGCGUAAAGAGCUCGUAGGCGGCUUGUCACGUCGGUUGCGAAAGCCCGGGGCUUAACCCCGGGUCUGCAGUCGAUACGGGCAGGCUAGAGUUCGGUAGGGGACAUCGGAAUUCCUGGUGUACCGGUGACAUGCGCA